rnacentral:lncRNA from 1 species
UGGCACUUUUCAAAUAGACAAAAAAAUAUACAAGUCAUCUGGAGGCUAGCUAGGGUAUCUUGCUUUGCAGUUUACAUAUACUGUGGACGGUGUGUGUGCUGAGAUCAGAAGCUUGGGCUGGCAUUCGCGUCUCUCAAGUCUGAAUCUACAGCCGUCAGGUCUAGGUCCUUGAUAGUUCACACCGCAGAUUACGGACAUGCCUUUACAAUAACGCACUGUCUAGCUACACUCCCCUUGAUGCCAUAUUGUACUACAGAUCUUUGCAAAAUCUACAAUUUUUUUGUGUAAAACAGCGAUAACUACUGGUUGAAACCAUGAACUAGCAGUCAAAGGUGUGGUAGUUCAAACCACGAACCGGCAGUGAUAGUGCACAUCAUAUCACUGCCAGUUGUUGUGAAGCCAUGAACUGGCAGUGGUGCUCUAUAUCACCGGUGGUUCCAAAAUAAGCUGCAGUGAAUGACUGUAGUAGUGUGACACCGCUACCUCUGCAGAACAUCUAUAGCCGCCUAUUCAGUUGUCUUGUAGUAAUGGGGGUCUAGCUCCACUCCGCUCGAAGCCAUCUUUUGUGACGGAGAUGGUGUGUUGCACAUGGAUGGAGGCGCGUGUGUGCAGUGACCACCUCGAGGCGUGCAAGUGGAACGGGAACUCAGCUGAUGUGGUGGCCUCCAGAUGCUUCUCAAUCCUGAAUGUACUGUUUAAUCUAUGAGAAGAUGCUCUGCAUGCAUUUUGCUUCGUCACACAGCGUGCAUUGGCUUGCAUUAGCUUGUCACAAAGAGCCUCCUAGCAACUAGUAUAUGGGCUCACACAACAUGGAGUAGCUUGGCUUACAUGCACAACAUAACGGUCCUGAAACUACACUACAUAUUGGUGCUUGAGCACAAAAGUAUCAUUUAAGGCUUGUUUGGUGGAGACAUUUGUGCAAUCCAAUAUUAUUGGUACUCUGCAGUUAUAAAAGUAAAACAGUGAACUGACACUUAAAAUAUCAAAAACAUAGAAAGUCCGGACAUUACGGAGCACGGCACAUUCUACAUACUACACAUCCGUUUGCA